rnacentral:rRNA from 1 species
GGAGUGCUCGAAGAGAGACCGGUAACACAGGUGCUGCAUGGCUGUCGUCAGCUCGUGUCGUGAGAUGUUGGGUUAAGUCCCGCAACGAGCGCAACCCUUGUCAUUAGUUGCUACAUCUAGUUGGGCACUCUAAUGAGACUGCCGGUGACAAACCGGAGGAAGGUGGGGAUGACGUCAAGUCCUCAUGGCCCCUAUAGGUGGGGCAACACACGUCAUACAAUGGAUGGUACAAAGGGUCGCCAACCCGCGAGGGGGAGCCAAUCCCAUAAAGCCAUUCGUAGUCCGGAUCGCAGUCUGCAACUCGACUGCGUGAAGUCGGAAUCGCUAGUAAUCGUGGAUCAGAAUGUCACGGUGAAUACGUUCCCGGGUCUU